CGGGGCGGUGAGGAGGAGGCGGACAAGAUGGCGGCGCCCGGCGGAGGGGCAGGAGGCAGCGGCGAGGCGCGGCUGGCCUAGGGGCCGGGGGCGGCGGGGAGCGGCCGCGGACGCCGGCUGUGGGCCGCGAGGUAACGGAGCAGAGCUACUUGCAUAGUACUGCCACAGGGAAGGGAACAGGGCUGAGAAAUUGUGUGGUAGCUGCUCAGUAGAGCUGGGCUGAUGUAUGCCAGGCCUUACGCAGUACGGCAUUAGGUCUGCUAGGUUGAGCUGUCCUCCCUGCGUUGUCUGCUUGCUCUGAUAACAAGGAAGGCAUUGCUAAUGAUCUUGUAGCAUGUACCACUCUGCGAUCAGUCACUGGGUCGAUUCA